rnacentral:misc_RNA from 1 species
GAUGAAGAACGUAGCGAAAUGCGAUAAGUAGUGUGAAUUGCAGAAUUCAGUGAAUCAUCGAAUCUUUGAACGCACAUUGCGCCCCUUGGUAUUCCAUGGGGCAUGCCUGUUCGAGCGUCAUUUGUACCUUCAAGCUCUGCUUGGUGUUGGGUGUUUGUCUCGCCUCUGCGUGUAGACUCGCCUCAAAACAAUUGGCAGCCGGCGUAUUGAUUUCGGAGCGCAGUACAUCUCGCGCUUUGCACUCAUAACGACGACGUCCAAAAGUACAUUUUUACACUCUUGACCUCGGAUCAGGUAGGGAUACCCGCUGAACUUAAGCAUAUCAAGCGGAGGA